GGCCGCGAGGCGGUGUGGACUAUCCUCUUGGCUUGCGGAGCCAGGGACCAGCGUUCAAAUCGCUGACCGGACG
rnacentral:tRNA from 1 species